rnacentral:rRNA from 1 species
AGAGUUUGAUCCUGGCUCAGAUUGAACGCUGGCGGCAGGCUUAACACAUGCAAGUCGAGCGGGGAAAGGUAGCUUGCUACCUGACCUAGCGGCGGACGGGGNNNNNNNNNNNNNNNNNNNNNNNNNNNNNNNNGGACAACAUCUCGAAAGGGAUGCUAAUACCGCAUACGUCCUACGGGGGAAAGCAGGGGAUCUUCGGACCUUGCGCUAAUAGAUGAGCCUAAGUCGGAUUAGCUAGUUGGUGGGGUAAAGGCCUACCAAGGCGACGAUCUGUAGCCGGUCUGAGAUGAUGUCCGGCCGCGAUGGGACUGAGAUACGGCCCAUACUCCUACGGGAGGCAGCAGUGGGGAAUCUUCCACAAUGGACGAAAGUCUGACGGAGCAACGCCGCGUGUAUGAUGAAGGUCUUCGGAUUGUAAAGUACUGUCUUUGGGGAAGAAUGAUUUGACGGUACCACUAAAGGAAGCCCCGGCUAACUACGUGCCAGCAGCCGCGGUAAUACGUAGGGGGCAAGCGUUGUCCGGAAUUAUUGGGCGUAAAGGGCGCGUAGGCGGAUAAUUAAGUCCGGUGUGAAAGAUCAGGGCUCAACCCUGAGAGUGCAUCGGAAACUGGUUAUCUUGAGGACAGGAGAGGAAAGUGGAAUUCCUAGUGUAGCGGUGAAAUGCGUAGAUAUUAGGAGGAACACCAGUGGCGAAGGCGACUUCCUGGCUUGUAACUGACACUGAGGCGCGAAAGCGUGGGGAUCAAACAGGAUUAGAUACCCUGGUAGUCCACGCCGUAAACGAUGAGUGCUAGGUGUAGAGGGUAUCGACCUUCGGUGCCAAAGCUAACGCAAUAAGCACUCCGCCUGGGGAGUACGGUCGCAAGACUGAAACUCAAAGGAAUUGACGGGGGCCCGCACAAGCGGUGGAGUAUGUGGUUUAAUUCGACGCAACGCGAAGAACCUUACCAAGGCUUGACAUCUACAGAAUCCCUAGGAAACUAGGGAGUGACCGAAGGAGCUUGGAGACAGGUGCUGCAUGGCUGUCGUCAGCUCGUGUCGUGAGAUGUUGGGUUAAGUCCCGCAACGAGCGCAACCCCUAUCCUUAGUUGCCAUCAUUAAGUUGGGCACUCUAAGGAGACUGCCGGUGACAAACCGGAGGAAGGUGGGGAUGACGUCAAAUCAUCAUGCCCCUUAUGUCUUGGGCUACACACGUACUACAAUGGCCUGAACAGAGGGAAGCGAAACUGCGAAGUUAAGCGAACCCCUUAAAACAGGUCCCAGUUCGGAUUGUAGGCUGCAACUCGCCUACAUGAAGUUGGAAUCGCUAGUAAUCGCAGGUCAGCAUACUGCGGUGAAUACGUUCCCGGGCCUUGUACACACCGCCCGUCACACCACGAAAGUCUGCAACACCCGAAGCCGGUGAGGUAACCCGUAAGGGAGCUAGCCGUCGAAGGUGGGGCCGAUGAUUGGGGUGAAGUCGUAACAAGGUAACCU